rnacentral:lncRNA from 1 species
GUGGAAAGUUGAGGAGCUGUUCUGCCAAGCUAUGGGAGAUUCCUACAAAAAAGCAAGGAAAAAUAUCUUUAAUCUUUUUUGAGAAAGAGAUGCUGAAGAAACAUAUCUCCAGAGCUGAUGUCAGUUGUAAAUAAGAGGCACAGCACCAAGAACUAGCAUGUGUUAUCUGAUGUGGGAGUGUUUUCUAGAAGGGUGGGAGGGGAGAAGAAAAACCAGGAAUAAGGGAAUUAUUUAUUGCUUUAUGGGAAGAGAAGUCUUCCAAACUUUCAGAUGUACCCAUAGAAAGGGUCCCUUCUACCCAUCUCUUGAGAAAGCAGCACAUUAUGGCCAUCUGGCAUCUCACCACCAUGACACUGGACCUUCCAGAGCUGAGCCAUCCCAAAGCUCAAAUCUCCAUGGGACUCUUUGGCUGAUACGGUGAACAUUCGGGGGCUGCUGGAUGAUCCUUCCUUAACAGGUCCUCUAGGUGUUUGUCCUGUUUCAUUGAGCAGAUAGGGCCAGGCACAAAGAUUUGAUUCUCCCCUGUGAGAGCACCUGAGUGACUGCACCGUGGGGACCCAGCUUGCAGCCAGCAACACCACAGCUGCCUUCUGGGGAAGGAGCAGCAUGCCCCAGGG